rnacentral:misc_RNA from 1 species
GUUUAAUUCUACAUAAAUUUUACACUCUACUCUGCAGCCAAUGAAUUCUUGAAUGGUUGCUUUCUAGAAUGGUUGCUUGUAUAUGGUAAUAUGAAUGUUGAAUUAUUGCUAAGAUACAUAGAUGAACACUUUUCUUUACACAGAUUAGUAUUCAUAGGAGCCCAAUACACCAUAUGGAAAACAAGACCCCACAAAAGCAUCAAACAUCCCAUAAAACUUAAAAAUGAUUUGGUUACCCAUUCCACUAAGACCUAAGCAGCUUAAGCAACAUUCUUGCCUUUGUUUUGGUCCUACCGCUGCACUGGCUCUGCAAUAGCAGCAGCAGCUGGGUCAAAACUCCUGCACAGAUUGCUUCUUCUCUUGCCUGUAAAGAAUCACUACAUAUUACCAUUAGUGACCUCACUGCACUUUCACUUCCUUCAUGAUCUGAUACCCUGAAAACCAUCUUAACUAGAGCACUAACACCAUUAGGGUUAUUUAUCACAGCCUCUUUUGCACUCUCUAGUCCUAGAAGGAUCUCAAUUGUUGCUAGUGCUUUUGGUGCCAAGUUUCUUUCACGUCUUUCUGCAUUUGAAAUGUAUAUUAAGAGUCCAUUUAUAACACCUUCUCGAACCAAUUUCUCUCUGUUUGAUUCCAAGGAGCAUAAUGCAUAUAUGGCUUUGAUUCCAGCCUCAGAUGCCCUGCAAGCCUGUUGAACAAGAAGAACUAGCCCGUGGAGGAGUUGGCGAUUUUCGCCAAGCAUCGAACAGAGUUCUAUUGUUUCCAAAGAUGAGGAUAUUGCUUCUAUAAGAUGACAUAAACUCACCUUGGCAAUGCCAGUUCCUUGCUCAAGCAAAAUCUUGAAGGAUUCCAGCUUGGUUUCUUUUUUUAGCAUGUUUAAGGACUCGUAUUCACCCACAGACAGCAAUUUUAAAACGCAAGAAAGUGCUUUCUCUGAAAAUUUGAUGCUUUCUUGGGAUAGUUUGGAUUCUACUUGUCCAAAAACUAGUUCCAACAACAAAGGCAAGAAGCCUAAUUGCAGCAAAUAAGAAUUUCUCUGAGUUGAUUCUUCUGAUAGAGCUUGGAUUCUUUCAAGUGCUUGAAACUUCAUCUCCAAGGUAGCCUCAUGAGAUACAAGAUUGUGUUUAAGUGAAGAUAAAUAAUCGAUGUUUGUCAAGUAAUCAGGAUCGAAUUGAGGACCCCUCUGGAGCCACUCAUCGAUCAAAUUGCGAAGAGUGUGAUUAGGAACCAUAGACAGAUCAUGAAGCUUCUGCAUUGUGACAGGGCAUGUGAGAUUACCUGCAGCAAGCCAUUUUUCUAUGCUUGAUCUAUCAUAGGUUUGCCCUGUACAUAGAGUCACUGGAUCUUUGAACAAGUCUAGACUAAUUGGGCAAAUGAACAAGUGGGGUAUACUCAUUUGAGCUUAUUUCAUGGAAGAAAGCCACAGACUCAAGAAAACAAAAAAGAAAAAAGGGAUAUUGGUGGUGAAUUUUUGAUGGUAUUGGCUGAAAGUUCAGUAUCUAAGAAGUGGAUGCUAAAGACAUUCACCACUAAAAGUGCACAGGCAAGGGGAGAAGAUAGUUGUAAUAUACAAAUACAAUGCAAGAUUUAUGGGUAUUAGAAGACAAACCUUAAAGAACACUCAUGACUCAUGAAUUAAACAAUGGAAAGGAAUUAUGGUGGAAGAGGACCUUUUUCUUUUUGUUUUUUUUCCCAAUUCAGAUUCUUGAUGCCACAGCAGAAAUGGCAUGCAUUGAAAUAUGGAAAUGAGUUAAUAAACAUGGCAUAGAAAGAAAAACACAGAAAGAGCAAUAGAAUCAAAGGAAUGAAAGUGAUGGAAAAAAUUAAAAGGGUUAGCACUUGGUACUAGUAGAAGUAGCACCUCCUCCACUUCCUGCUGCCAGAAGCAGCCAAGCCAGGAUUUAAGAGAGAGAGUUUUUGUGUGUUCUGUGAGCUUUACACUAACAGAGGGGCAAAAGUGCAAUCUUACUUGGAGGAAUCAGAAGAGAACAGCAGCAUACAAACACUGGAGAGAGCCAAAG